rnacentral:rRNA from 1 species
CUCUCCCUCUUUCUUCAGGCCUAACACAUGCAAGUCGAACGAACUCUUCGGAGUUAGUGGCGGACGGGUGAGUAACACGUGGGAACGUGCCUUUUGGUUCGGAAUAACUCAGGGAAACUUGUGCUAAUACCGAAUGUGCCCUUCGGGGGAAAGAUUUAUCGCCAUUAGAGCGGCCCGCGUCUGAUUAGCUAGUUGGUGAGGUAACGGCUCACCAAGGCGACGAUCAGUAGCUGGUCUGAGAGGAUGACCAGCCACACUGGGACUGAGACACGGCCCAGACUCCUACGGGAGGCAGCAGUGGGGAAUCUUGCGCAAUGGGCGAAAGCCUGACGCAGCCAUGCCGCGUGAAUGAUGAAGGUCUUAGGAUUGUAAAAUUCUUUCACCGGGGACGAUAAUGACGGUACCCGGAGAAGAAGCCCCGGCUAACUUCGUG